rnacentral:rRNA from 1 species
UGGGGAAUUUUGGACAAUGGGCGCAAGCCUGAUCCAGCCAUGCCGCGUGCGGGAAGAAGGCCUUCGGGUUGUAAACCGCUUUUGUCAGGGAAGAAAUCUUCUGAGUUAAUACCUCGGGAGGAUGACGGUACCUGAAGAAUAAGCACCGGCUAACUACGUGCCAGCAGCCGCGGUAAUACGUAGGGUGCAAGCGUUAAUCGGAAUUACUGGGCGUAAAGCGUGCGCAGGCGGUUUUGUAAGACAGAGGUGAAAUCCCCGGGCUCAACCUGGGAACUGCCUUUGUGACUGCAAGGCUUGAGUGCGGCAGAGGGGGAUGGAAUUCCGCGUGUAGCAGUGAAAUGCGUAGAUAUGCGGAGGAACACCGAUGGCGAAGGCAAUCCCCUGGGCCUGCACUGACGCUCAUGCACGAAAGCGUGGGGAGCAAACAGGAUUAGAUAGCCCUGGUAGUCCACGCCCUAAACCGAUGUCAAACUGGUUGUUGGGAAGGUU